rnacentral:piRNA from 1 species
AGGUAGUGAUGGCCCACACACUCCA